ACACCUUGGUUUUCUGGACUGUGGUAAGAAAGCAAACAGCCUUGUAGUACAGGCUUCAGUUGUGGGACUGCACCCUGUUGUUGAGACCCCCCCCAGGGGCUUAUUUCUUGUAUGUCCAUGCAGGAUAGUUGGAGGGGUGGGGAAUGGAAGGAAGAGGCAUGGAUGAGACCUGCAUCUUCUGUUCAGCAAAUUUCUGUAAGUAAUGUUAGUACUACUAAUAUUAUCCCUGUUCUGAUUCUUACUAUUACUAUUAUUUGUUUUCCCAUAUACUUUGCCAACAAAGCACCUGGCAGGUCCAGUAAGAAAAGGAAGUUUCCAAACAGGUGACAGAAGGAAACCAAAUGAUUUAAGUAUGCAAGUGGUGGUGGUGGUGUUGGGAAGGUUCAGGAACCAUGGGGGAGGCAAGAGUUUUUGUUAUGUCUUUUGUGGCAACAACAGCACGGUUUGGACGGACAGAAGCAAGGUUUUAGGCAUCCCAGUCCCCUUUUUCAGUCCUGGUUCCUUCCCAGCAUCCUGAGGAAAGGUACUGUCAUACCCCAAAGGUUGCCUGUAUCUUACAGUUGGUCUGGUAAAACAGGGGUCAAAAAACCUAUGGCCUGUGGUUUGGAUCCAGCCUGUGAAGAAACUGGUUCUAGCCUGUAGCAGUUCAACCAAGGAGCAGCACACUCCCACAGUGACAGCAGCAGGGACAUCCCCAGCGGCCUGUUGCCACUGCGUUCAGUUUGUUCUUUGUGCUGCAGCAGAAGCAGCCUCCCCAGGGUCCCGGCCCCUGCCUCUUUCUUUUGAGUCCCUUCACAGCCUGUGGAGAUUGCCGGGGAGCAAGCUGUCACGUUGGCAACGGUGCACGACGGCAAAAGAACGGCCCUUCCCUGCAAGGAAAGAUUGCACCUAACUCCGAGCGAGCAGAGCAGAGCAGAGCAUGGACACAGAGCGAGAUGCUCAAAAGUAGGGUAGUCUGGCCUUGCCGUUGCUAGGAGUGCCCAAGUAGGGAGGUGUUGGAAUAAUUUCUCAGCUUUUUCCCUAGAUCGCUCUAAGAGGAGAGGGGAGCGCUAAGCACACUUGGGUUCGUGCACGCUCCCCAUCGUUUUCAGAAGCGGACGGCAGGAGAAAGUUUGCGGUCAGCGAUAGCAGCACAAGGCCACGCAACCAGGCUGGGGAACGUGGGGCUCUUUCCUAAACCAGGAGUGGCAGGACUUGCACAGCUUUGCCAGGAUCCUGGCUGUUGUGGAGAGACUUUGGGUUGGAGAUGGAUGCAAAGAAGUGGAGGCGUGCCAUGGUGAUGGAGGAUAGAGCAGGAGGAGUAGUGUGAUGGAAGAUGACCAAAGUCUGGUCCUGAGUGGAGAAGAGCUGAGGAAGAGGUGAAGAGCCCUGGAGCUGGUAUGGCGUGGAAGGAGUUGGAGACGGCCUGAAGCCAUGCUCACGUGAUCACCUGGAGCGAGCAGGUGCCUGCAUCGUAUCUGGGAAAGGGAUAGCAAGCAUGAGGACUGAUGGCGCACAAGGACUGAAGGCGCAGCGUGAUGCCAGGUGUGGAGCCAUCUUCUGAAGGCUUGAGGGCUGUGGAGCAGACUCUGUGAAGAUGAAGUGAAGAGUCCCAGAGAUGGUGCAGGAGGAAACGGGCAGCCCUGUUGUGACUUCCUGAUUUGCGUGGUGUGAGGCCUCUUCCCCUGUGGCAUCACCUGGCUGGAGUCUGGGGAGGUUUUGUGUGUAGCUUUGCAGGCGGUGCGUCUCCGCUCCCACUUCUUGCUGUGAGGAUGCCUGGAUAAGCAGCAGCAUGAUUGUGGCUGGGUGGCCUCAAUGUUGUGGGGGAGAGGAACAGAAGCGAGGCUUCUGCGGUGGUGGUAGAAGAUGGAGGAACUGGAUCCCGAAAGGUGGGCUGGGUUAAAGUGGGAGGCUGGGUUGCGUUUUCCCUGGUCGUGUUUGGGUGGGGAAGGAAACGCCUUGUGCGUAAUGGGGUCUGGAGCUCCGUGCUGUCUGGGAAGUGAUGCUGAAGCCGGGACUUGUGGCCCUUAGGGAUGCUGCAGAGCAGGGGGUGUAAGCCUGAAUUGGGUUUAGUUUGGUGGUGAGACCUGACUCCUUGUAAAGGCUGGAAAUUGUCCUUGAGUAUAUUAGGGGUUUCAGUGUUUGCCCCUGGCUUCUGGGUGCAGGUGACAGCAUUGGAUGUGCUGGGACAGAGGAGCGGGUGCGUGCGUGUCCGCCUCUGCCUGGCUGUUGCUGCUGCCACUGGUCUUCCUUCAGUUCUGGGAAUUGCACUCUGUCCUAUGUCUCUGGGUGUGUCACUGGUGUUUCUUUCUACUUUGAUAUCUAAAAUCACAGCAGCACUUCUUCUUUCUUUCUUUGCUCUUCCCAGAGCUGGAAGGAUAGGUGUGUUUGCAACUGAAUUGAUCCCCUCAUUUGGGUGGGCUUUGACUGCACCCUGUGUGCCUCGCGUGCGAGUGGGGGUGUUAUGCUUUCGGUGUCCUAGGCUGCUGGGGGUGGGGGGCGUUGUCUCUGCUGUCAGUACUAUGAGACGUGAAUACUGUUGCGUGUAGUAAUUGCUUGUUGUUUUGGGUGUGAUGUUAAUAUGUCGAGCGUGAGUGGAGAAGAGCUGAGGCGGAGACCUAGAGCCAGCGCUAGGUAGAAGCGGGUGGAGGAAGCAGGUGGUUGUGCAGCCAUGCUCGCUUCUGGGUCACCUGGAGGGAGGCCUCUGCCUGUUCGGUGGACCUGUGUGCACGAGCAGAGCCUGCAGAGGUCCCUGCUUCCCCUGUGUGGAGAGGAUGGCAAGGAGGGAGGAGAGCGCGCUGGAGGAAGAGGAGCGCGAUGCCAGGUCCCAUGAGUGCUGUCUCUUGGGGGUCCUGACCUGUGCAGAGGGAAAUGACUGCCGGUUGAAGGAGUGAAGCUGAGCAGCGCCCACGGAGGGUGAAGCAGGAGGAACUCGAUGCCGCACGGCGUGUCGGUGCCGGAUGGGCAGUUCUGGCAAUUGGUUUCUGUUUUUCUCCAGCCCAGUCCUGGGUGUUGGGCAUUGACUAGGUAGGGUAGACGACUGGAGAUCGAUCUGGAUGUUUCUGACAAACAUCUGGAUGUUUCUGACAAACAUCUGGAUGUUUCUGUGGGUGUCAGAGAAAAGGUCCUUCUUGUGGUGGUGUCUCCAGCAUAUGCUGUGGCUGCUGUGCUGUGGUCCCAGCAGAGGCAAGCCUUGGAGAGCUGAGAGGGUCCUGGUCCUUGGAGAGAAGUUUGAGCAGAGAAGGGUGGAAGAUGGAGGCAGAGAGGAUGGUGCAAGCAGGGGGUCUUUUUACCAAGACUUUUGGGGCAGGGAGGAGAAGUGGAGAUUGGGCAGAAGAAGAGAAGACACCUUGAAGUCAUGAACCAUGGAGCUGCCUGUCAUUGGUGCAUGGAACAUGUGAUGGGUGCUUGUGCUGUAGCUCUGUCGUGAGGAGCAGGGCAGGGGCAGUGACAUGCUGAGGGCUGGAGAAGGAGCACCACAAAGAUGGCUGUGAGGCCUUGGUCAGGCGUGAAGUAUGUGAGCCAGGAGAGUCGUACAGCACACACGCAGGAUGGAGGGCAACAAGUCGAGUGGGGGGCUUCUUUGGCCAGGGCUGCUGUGAAAUCUGGCGUAGGGCUAGGCCGGCCGGUCCGAGUCUGUCGGACUCCACGUAUAGGAGAAACGACAGAUGUCUAAGGAGCUUGUGGGGCGUUUGAUCCGGGCUCAUCCCUGGCACUUGGGGUGCAGGCCUGGCCCCUCUCUGGGGUGUGUUGAGGGUGAGCUCUGGGUUUGCGUUCAUGCCCCUGACUUGCUGUUGCUACAGGCCUCCCUUCAGUCUUGGGAACAGCGCUAUGUCCUGUGUGCCUGGGGGUGUCACUGGUGUCUCUCUCUUUCUACCUCUUUGCAAAAUGUCUGCAGCACUUGUUCUUUUUCUGCUCUUGUCAGGACUGGAGGGAAGGCUGUGGUGGGUUUUUUCCUGCCACCUAAAAUGGUUUCCACCUCGGGGAGGGGUCUGACUGCACCCUGUGUGCCCUGUUUAGGCUGGGUGGGGGUAUCGCCUUUGAAUUCUCGGGGGUUGCUUUUGCCCUCAGGGCUGUGAGUCCCGUGUGCCGCGUGACUUUUCCUAAUUUAUUUUUGUUUUGGUGACAUGUACGGGAGUCAUCUGGCUGAGGCUCGAGGCUCCUAAGUGGGCAUCGGGAAGAAGAGGUGGAGAUAUAGCGCCUGUGACCUGAGGAAGCUGGUGAAAGAAACGGAUGUCGGCGCAUUCGCUUUGCGGUUGCCCGGCGUGAGACUUCUGCCCGUGUGGUGGCCCUGGGCUGGAAGCCUUGCUGCGUGAAGCCUGCGAUAGAUGUUGGAUUGCUGCUCCCUGUGUGGUGAGAAGGAUUGGCUGCAAUGACUGGAGGCCUGGAAAAGGAGCCGUGUGGCCAGGGUCCUGGCCUGCAUGGAGGGAAGUAGGUGAGAGGACUGCAUCGUGGAAGAGCCGUGGGACAGUGUUGGAUGACAGACACGGACCGGCCGGAUGUUGCCCGCUACGUUGGAAUGUCCCUUCUGUAUUGGGAUUCUGCGUGGGGGUGUGGGGUGGGUUUGGGAGUGUCCUCAGCUUUAUGAUCCUGGAGCCAGGGGUUUGCAAGUAGUAUGUUUGGGUCAGUUUGUCUGUGCUGUGGGUGGACCUAGGGUGACCAGAGGUGAAAUCCAUUCCUGUGACCCUGUAGUUGGACCAGCACCCAGACACUUGCAGGAACCGCUGGGCAAGCAGGCCCAGAGCUUUCAACUGUUGAGCACGGCAAUGCUGGAGCCAGCUAGCAUGGAAGCAGAAGGGCCGGCCGGGCGCGGGGCCUGGGCUGCCUCUGUGGCUUCUGUGCUAGUGAGGUUGAGAAUUGCAGUGCUGGGGGGUUGGAGGUUUUGGACCUGCUUGUGCAGGGUUCUUGUUGGUGUUGGGGUGCUGGUUCUGCUGGGUCAGAGCAAUGGGUUUUAUUCUGCCUGACUGCCAUGUUUACCGUGUCCUACAGGGCUGGGAGCCUGUCGUAGCAGCGUGUGUUUGGGUGGGGCGGGGCGGUUGUCUGGUUUGGUCCCUGAGCAGUGUGGUGAGCAUGUUUGUUAUUACCCUGAAAUAAAAUAGUUUUCUGAUAGCCUACUGUUAGGCUAACAAUAAUUUAGAUUAUUAAGAAGUAUUAGCUUUGCAGUUGAAUACAAGGCAUGACCUGUGGCCUAGCAAUGCCGCUGACCACAAGGCAGAAUGAUAGCUAAGCCUUUGCUUAUGUUAAGUAAUGAUUUUAACUGUGUUGACUAUUUUCUGAGUAAAAUGCAGCAAGUGAAUCUGUCUGUGUGCUGUAAACCAGAUACAGCAAGGAACAAGGUAAGAGGAAGAAGGCAUUGUUCUAAGUACAGUGAUCGUGUCCUUAAGAAGUAUCUAGUACUGUGGAAGUUUUUGCUAAGAUAUCAUAAUGUUACUGUUACUUAAGUUAGAAAAUAUUGUUGGAAAAUCAAUGUGACCUUUGUUUGACCUUUGGUCAAUCCUGGCUGAUGCAACCUUGCAGUAAGAUUGCCAUGAUCUGUCAAUAUAGGCGGGCAAACAAGGUGAUUGGGCCCAACCGUGCGGGGCGAGCAAAGCCAAGCCAUCUUGGUGAUUUCCUCUGAGUUUUGCGCAUGCGUUAUGAAGGAGCUUAUGUAACCAGAGUUUAUAAAUCUAUGUGUUUGAGUUGCAGUCGGGGGUCUCUCUGCCCUUACGAGGACAGGGGACCUUUGGUCCAAUAAACUGAAAAGACCACGCCCUCGUCUCCUGCUUAUUGGAGUCUCAGGUGGGAAACGAGCCCUGUUCGGGUUAAGAGAGUCUGCAGGUGUUCCCUUACCAGAUUGGGAGCCUGGUCAGACAAUUUCUCUCACAAUUUGGCGAGCCAGCCAGGAGCACCCAGCUCGUCGCGCUGCCGCUGCCGCCUAAACCCAACCUCCGGCCGGCCGUAACAGAGGUGAGUUCACCACGGGAGUCUUGGGUUGAGGCUGCAGACACGGCGGGACGAUAAAGUGACUCCUUCAAUUUUACUGGCACGGUGUGGUCUUUUAUAUGUUGUGUAUGUCUUGUCUAAUGUGUUAUAGGCCAGUCUGUUCUCCGGUUCCUCAAACCUGGGCACACAGGCAAUUUUAGUUAAUUGCCCGUUCGACUCUUUUGAGCCGAUAAAUCUGUGUGGCGCGUUUUAUGUCUCCAUUCGCGCACUGAGGAACCGUCUCUGUUUCUGACCUUUUAACUGGAUAAGUCCUCCAACCUGUUUGAGGCAUCCUAGAAGCCUGCCUUUCCAGGUUGGUUAGGUCUAGGGCAGCCAAGAAAGCAGGGUUUUUGGGGAGCUUAAUAGUAUAUCAAGUCAUCUGGGAAAGGGAUGUCUGCCAAGAAUGACGAUGGGACAGAAACAGUCAAUUCUGGCUAGUAGUCCUCUUGGAGAAUUGUUAAGCAACUGGAAUAAGCUAUCUGGACAUGGCCAAUUGAGUAAGAAGCGCGCUAUAGCCUUAUGUACUAGUGUCUGGCCCGGCUACACUUAUAAAAACCCUGAACUUCAGUGGCCAGUGUUGGGAUCCCUUAGUGUAGAUAAAUGAAGGUACCUCAGGGGGUUCCUAGAGGAACCCCAUCCCCGACUAAUGGAUUAUUGGUAUGUGUGGUGUGAUUUGAUGGAUUUAAUUCUGCAGAGGAAAAAAAAAACUGAUUAGUUCUGGCCGCUCAACAACGUCUGUGGUGUCUUCUCCCCCUUAUUCUCCCGCUAUGCCACCAUUGGUGACUAGGGGACCAGCCAUAAUAAACCCGGCCGCUUAGGCCGUGGCCCUUCCGGCACCUUUUACCCCUCCAUCAGGCUCCUCUCCUCCCGUAACAGGAGUGUCAGGGUCUGUACCUGCCUCCUCGGAGCCUACUUUCAGUCCCAUAGCAGGACAUACUAGGUAGCGUUUGAAUCAGGUCAUACACCUGCUCUUGUACACAUGUAAUGACAUCUGCACACCCCCAUCACACAUGCAGUCACGCCUGCUCAGAGUCCCUUACAGACAUGCGCCUGCACAGAACCCCAAAACACACUGCGACAUACACAUGUGCCCCAACAGGUGUCCGUGACACACUUGCACACAAAUGUGCAUCCUCGCACACAUGCAUGUGCAGUCUCACACACGUACCCAGAGCCCAGGUGCUUGUGACACGUGCAUGCUCACACACACAUGGAACUCAGGUGUCUGACACACAUGCAUAUGUGCUCUCGCGGACACAGUCUAGCACACAUGUACAGAACCCAAGUGUCUGUGGCACACAGGCAAGUACCCUGACAUAUUCACAUUCACACACACACAAGCCCACAUGGGUAGAUAUGAAUCAACCUGCCCCCAAUGAUGUGUGCAAUUAUUGUAAACAAUUGGGGCAUUGGAGACGAGAAUGCCCAAACUGCCCUAAGGGACUUCCCCCUUAUGGAGGAAGAAAGGGGGGAACCCAGGGAAACAACCGGGCUGCCAGCACCGAUCCUACAGAUCCCUGGGUCCAGAGUUUGCAACAAGAUAUAGAUGACUCCCAGUGAAAUAAGGGGGCGGCUCUUCCACACGAUGUAUUUAGGGGAAUCUUCCUCUUUUGAGUAUACCUGCGGCCCUUCAUCCCCUUAUGUACCACUUCAAAUAGCAGGAAAAUUUAUAAAUGUCUUAUAGAUAGAGGAGCAGAUCUGUCCUCACUGGGAGAAUCUCCAGAAAGGGCGGGAAUUGCAGUCUCAGGAUCUGAAAAGAUUACGAGAGUAAUUGGAAAAUCUAUGCAAGUGCCCCGUGGCACUGAAACACAAGUGCAGAUAGGACCCUUGACCACCAUUCAUGCUUUCCUAUUAGCUGAAGGAACUGUAGUGCACCUCCUUGGAAGAAAUCUACUCUAUAAAGUACAGACCAGAAACCCUUCACCCUACUUAUGAGAAUCAAGACGUUGCUUCAGGUGUCUUAACUCAGCCAUGGGGAGUUUCUAAUCGUCCCAUAGCAUACUAUUCUGCUCAGUUAGAUCCUGUAGCAAGGGCAGCAAUUGUCUGUCUUAGAGCAGUCGCUGCUGCCACUGUGCUAGUUCAAAAGGCUCAAGAUUUAGUGUUAGGACACUCUCUUGUGGUUGAAAUAUCUCAUUCAGUGGAAGCUCUCCUACUACAGCACAACCUCUGCCAGCAGGGACCAACGCCCAGGCCGCUGAGCUAGCGGCACUCUGACGAGCAUGCAAAUUGGCCACAGCCUCCAGGGUCACUAUCUAUACUGACUCUAAAUAUGCUUUUAGUAUCUGUCAUGCGCUAGGACGGUCCUGGUGACAAAGAGGUUUUAUCACGUCCUCUGAUGCUGUAAUCAGCAAUGCCACGGAAGUCCAAGAACUGCUAGAGGCUGUCGUGUUACCAGGUGAUAUAGCGGUAAUGCACGGUCCCAGACAUUCCAGAGAAGAUACUGACAUCGCUAAAGGAAAGCAUCUCGCAGAUGCUGUAGCUAGAGCCGCUGCACUACAAACUAAAGGAAGUCUCUUUGCAUCUCAAGUUGUUCUUCCACCCUUGUCUGUUAUUUAUGACAAAGUCCCAGCGGAUGAAGUAUCUAUAUGGGUCCAAAAGUGGGAAGCUGCGCAAGGAAAGGAUGCAGUGUGACGUGUGCCAGACGGUAGACCAAUUGCUCCUCGCACCUUGCUCCGAAGUCUGGCUCAGGAUGCCCACAGAUGAUGUCAGUCGGGAAAAGGAGAAAUAGCAGAACAGGUCCUCUCCACCUGGUUUGCUCCAGGUAUACAUCUAGAAGCUGCCCGAAUAACUCUGCAAUGUUCAGAGUGCAGAGCCUUCAACAAAUACAGAGGACACACAAAAUUACAAGGGGCCCGACCGUGGGCCUAUUUACCCUUUGAAAAACGACAUGGAUUUGCUCAAAGCUGUAAAUUUCAAGCACUGCCUAGUAGCGGUAGAUCAAGUAACAGGAUGGCCAGAAGCUUUCCCCACUCGAGAAGCGGAUUCAGUAGCAGUAGCCAAACCCGUAUUAAAAGAAAUCAUCCCACAUUUCGGCAUUCCAGGAGGAAUAAACUCUGACCGGGGAACUCACUUUACAGAAACUGUUUUAAAAGAAGUUUACAGAGUUUUUGGAAUAAUAACAUACUUCCACGCACCCUAUCGGCCUCCGUCCUCGGGUCAGGUAGAGAGGAUGAAUCAGAAUAUAAAAUCCCUUUUAGGAAAGAUCUGCUCCUAAACCAAAUUGAAAUGGUCAGAUGCUUUACCAAGGGUGCUGUUUGCUAUAAGAACAAAACCCAAAUGGCCUCUCAACCUUGUCCCCCUACGAGUUGUUGUUUGGUCACGCUCCUGUUAUAUAAGAGAUGGGAAAAUCUGCAUGUUAGCUUACUCGGCGGAGAUGAAGCUUUAAUUAGUUAUGUUUUAUCCUUACAGGAGUCUCUCUAGUGUUUACACAGGUCAGCUGCUUUGGUUCAGCUGGUACCCCUGGACUGUAACCUUCACUCCUAUCAAUCAGGACGCUGAGUUUGGGUAAAACAACAUCGGCGAAAAACCGCCUCGGCCCAAGUCUGGGCAGGUCCGUACCAAGUUCUUCUUACUAUACACGCUGCUGUGAAAAUCGCCGAGAAAGAGGGCCGGAUUCAUUGCAGUCGCCUCAAACCUGGUAUCGGCAAGUAAUGACCGGUCAGCUGCUGUUCCGCCUUUGUGGCUAGAAAGAAUCGGAGAAUCGUGGACCGUUCAGACUCCUUAAUAGAAAUGAUACGUGUAUUAAGCUUGCUUUGUAUUAUCUUUCUUGUUAUACUUUGUGUUUGUAUUUCACUGUGGAUGCAGGGAAGGUUAUAAGUUAAUAAUGGCAUUUCACCGGGCUAUCCUAACAGGAUUAUUGCUCUUGAUGCAUAAAACACCAUGGCUAUUUAUGGGAAAGCGAUACAGAACAGGAAGACCAGUGGAAAGAUAAUGCUUACCUGAUUUCCACUAUAGCUAUAGCACAGGCCCUAAAAUUUGUCUAAUGGUUGGAUAUGUGGUACACAGUCUCCUUCUACUAACUUUCCACCCUAUCCUUUAAUCUCUUGGGAAGGGAUUUUUUCUAAUCCAGAGUGGGUUGAUACGGUUAGAGCUGGAAUAAGUACCUGGCAGGAGAAUCCUUAUUUUAAAGAGAGAGUACUUUCAGACAUCAUGUUAUCUGCCCAGGUGUGUUGGGAAAAUCCUCAUGGAAUAGGAAAAGAGAUUUUUAGGAUGGCAACCAGGUUGUAAACUAACCAUUAAUGCCACACACUUAAUUUGGCCUAACAAUACUGCAGUGGGGACUAAAGAAGCUGAAAAGAAAGGUUACAUCCCCUGGAAUGUGUGUGCUCCCUGCAGUUCCUUGCAGCGUCCUUAUGUAUGGCAAUGUAUGGAAGGUUCCAUCCGAUGCUCCGCCCCUAAUAAAACUUGGGCUUGGAGUCACGGCUGUUUCACGUCUUGCACAUACAGCUCCUUUGCAAAGCCAAGUUGUUCGUAUGUUAACUAUACCAUUUACAGAGACGGUUCAGUACCUUGCCCCAGAGAUCCUCAUACUACCGCAUCAAUCAACUGGCACAUGCGUUAGAACUUAUUGCCAAUAGCACAGCAGAGGGCAUUGAAUUAGUGCAAGACCAGGCUUCUUGCAACCAUGCUAUGACUUUAGAAAAUCGCUUCGCUUUAGACUAUUUGUUAGCUAGAGAAGGAGGGGUAUGUGCUUUAAUCACAGGAGGACCCUGCUGCACCUAUAUUCCUGACCACUCUGACAACAUAACUGCUGCAGUAAAAACAAUUCGAGACACAGCACGACUUCUUUGCGAAGUUGGUCAGUAAUAGAACGGAUUGCCUCAACUUUAGGAAUGUGGGGAAGGUAUAUCUUAGAAUACAUUUUAUGGGGAUUAGGAAUCUUCUUGGUUAUUAUUGUAAUAAUUGCUGUAAUUACAGCCUGUGUAGUUUGAGUGAAGCAAAAAGUAAUUAAUCUCAAUAUUAUGCAAACCUGGGAAAUGGCCAGCAGGCCAUAGGCCUGUGGCUGUAAGGGGGGAUUGUUAGAAACUAUUGUUGGAAAAUCAGUGUGACCUUUGUAUCACCUUUGGGCAAUGCUAGCUGAUGCAACCUUGCAGUAAGAUUGCUAUGAUCUGUCAAUAUAGGCGGGCAAACAAGGUGAUUGGGCCCAACCAUGCGGGGUGAGCAAAGCCAAGCCAUCUUCGUGAUUUCCUCUGAGUUUUGCACAUGUGUUAUGAAGGAGCUUAUGUAACAAGAGUUUAUAAAGCUACAUGUUGAGUUGCAGUUGGGGUCUCUGUUCCCUUAUGCGGACAGGGGACCUUUGGCCCAAUAAACUGAAAAGACCACACCCUUGUCUGCUGCUUAUUGGAGUCUCAGCUGGGAAACGAGCCCUGUUUGGGUUAAGAGAGUCUGCAGGUGUUCCCUUACCAGCUUGGGAGUCUGGUCAGACAAUUUCUCUCACAAUUAAUUUGUAGCUUUUAGAAAGUGCUAGUUCAGCUUAAUAGAAAUAUGCUGUUAUGAAGAUUCGUAAAGCACCGCCCAAGUAUUGCUUUUGGUUAACCCUUGUAGUGCGCAAGUUUGUUAUUACCCUGAAAUAGAAUAGUUUUCUGAUAGCAUACUGUUAGGUUAACAAUAAUUUGGAUUAUUAAGAAGUAUUAGCUUUACAGCUGAAUACAAGGCAUGACCUGUGGCCUAGCAAUGCAGCUGACCACAAGGCAGAAUGAUAGCUAGGCCUUUGCUUAUGUCAAGUAAUCAUUUUAACUACACCAAGCAUUUUCUGAGUUAAAAAGUGAAUCUGUGUCUGUGUGCUAAAAAAAAUCAGCUACAGCAAAAAGUAAGAUAAAACAGAGAAACCAUUGUUUGAGCUUACUGGUUGUGUCCUUGAAAAAUAUCUUCUACUGUAUAAGGUUUUGCUAACAUAAUGUUACUGUUACCUAACUUUUAGCUUUAAAAAGUGCUAGUUCAGCUUAAUAAAAAUAUGCUGUUACAAAGAUUUAUAGAACACCGCCCCAAGUAUUGCUUUUUGUUAACCAUAUAGUUUUGCUUUGUUGUAAAAAAUAUAAAAGAUCGCCUCACCCUUGAGGGGGGGCCUUUUUGCCUUUUGCUGGCUUUAUGGUCUUUGCUCGAGCAAAUAAACAGCUGUCUUUCUUUA